rnacentral:rRNA from 1 species
UUAGAGUUUGAUCCUGGCUCAGGAUGAACGCUGGCGGCGCGCCUAACACAUGCAAGUCGAACGGCACCCAUCUUCGGAUGGAAGCGAGUGGCGAACGGCUGAGUAACACGUGGAGAACCUGCCCCCUCCCCCGGGAUAGCCGCCCGAAAGGACGGGUAAUACCGGAUACCCCGGGGUGCCGCAUGGCACCCCGGCUAAAGCCCCGACGGGAGGGGAUGGCUCCGCGGCCCAUCAGGUAGACGGCGGGGUGACGGCCCACCGUGCCGACAACGGGUAGCCGGGUUGAGAGACCGACCGGCCAGAUUGGGACUGAGACACGGCCCAGGCUCCUACGGGAGGCAGCAGUGGGGAAUCUUGCGCAAUGGGGGGAACCCUGACGCAGCGACGCCGCGUGCGGGACGGAGGCCUUCGGGUCGUAAACCGCUUUCAGCAGGGAAGAGUCAAGACUGUACCUGCAGAAGAAGCCCCGGCUAACUACGUGCCAGCAGCCGCGGUAAUACGUAGGGGGCGAGCGUUAUCCGGAUUCAUUGGGCGUAAAGCGCGCGUAGGCGGCCCGGCAGGCCGGGGGUCGAAGCGGGGGGCUCAACCCCCCGAAGCCCCCGGAACCUCCGCGGCUUGGGUCCGGUAGGGGAGGGUGGAACACCCGGUGUAGCGGUGGAAUGCGCAGAUAUCGGGUGGAACACCGGUGGCGAAGGCGGCCCUCUGGGCCGAGACCGACGCUGAGGCGCGAAAGCUGGGGGAGCGAACAGGAUUAGAUACCCUGGUAGUCCCAGCCGUAAACGAUGGACGCUAGGUGUGGGGGGACGAUCCCCCCGUGCCGCAGCCAACGCAUUAAGCGUCCCGCCUGGGGAGUACGGCCGCAAGGC